UACGGAGGGGGCUAGCGUUGUUCGGAAUUACUGGGCGUAAAGAGCGUGUAGGCGGCCAGGUAGGUCCGCUGUGAAAACUCGAGGCUCAACCUCGAGAUGUCGGCGGAAACCAUCUGGCUAGAGUCCGGAAGAGGAGAGUGGAAUUCCUGGUGUGGCGGUGAAAUGCGCAGAUAUCAGGAAGAACACCCGUGGCGAAGGCGGCUCUCUGGGACGGUACUGACGCUGAGACGCGAAAGCGUGGGGAGCGAACAGG
rnacentral:rRNA from 1 species